UACGUAGGGCGCAAGCGUUGUCCGGAAUUAUUGGGCGUAAAGAGCUCGUAGGCGGUUUGUCGCGUCUGCUGUGAAAACCUGAGGCUCAACCUCGGGCUUGCAGUGGGUACGGGCAGACUAGAGUGCGGUAGGGGUGACUGGAAUUCCUGGUGUAGCGGUGGAAUGCGCAGAUAUCAGGAGGAACACCGAGGGCGAAGGCAGGUCACUGGGCCGCAACUGACGCUGAGGAGCGAAAGCAUGGGGAGCGAACAGG
rnacentral:rRNA from 1 species